GACGAACGCUGGCGGCGUGCUUAACACAUGCAAGUCGAACGGAAAGGCCUUUUCGGAGGUACUCGAGUGGCGAACGGGUGAGUAACACGUGGGUGAUCUGCCCUGCACUCUGGGAUAAGCCUGGGAAACUGGGUCUAAUACCGGAUAGGACCGCACUUUAGUGUGUGUGGUGGAAAGUUUUUUCGGUGUAGGAUGAGCCCGCGGCCUAUCAGCUUGUUGGUGGGGUAAUGGCCUACCAAGGCGGCGACGGGUAGCCGGACUGAGAGGUUGGUCGGCCACAUUGGGAUUGAGAUACGGCCCAGACUCCUACGGGAGGCAGCAGUGGGGAAUAUUGCACAAUGGGCGCAAGCCUGAUGCAGCGACGCCGCGUGGGGGAUGACGGCCUUCGGGUUGUAAACUCCUUUCGCCAGGGACGAAGCGUUUUGUGACGGUACCUGGAGAAGAAGCACCGGCUAACUACGUG
rnacentral:rRNA from 1 species